rnacentral:rRNA from 1 species
AGCGCCUCGUGAAUUCAUCUUCGGGGGUAGAGCACUGUUUCGGCUAGGGGGUCAUCCCGACUUACCAACCCGAUGCAAACUACGAAUACCGAAGAAUGUUAUCACGGGAGACACACGGCGGGUGCUAACGUCCGUCGUGAAGAGGGAAACAACCCAGACCGCCAGCUAAGGUCCCAAAGUCACAGUUAAGUGGGAAACGAUGUGGGAAGGCACAGACAGCCAGGAUGUUGGCUUAGAAGCAGCCAUCAUUUAAAGAAAGCGUAAUAGCUCACUGGUCGAGUCGGCCUGCGCGGAAGAUGUAACGGGGCUAAACUGUGCACCGAAGCUGCGGCAGCGACACUAUGUGUUGUUGGGUAGGGGAGCGUUCUGUAAGCCUGCGAAGGUGGCCUGUGAGGGUUGCUGGAGGUAUCAGAAGUGCGAAUGCUGACAUAAGUAACGAUAAUGCGGGUGAAAAGCCCGCACGCCGGAAGACCAAGGGUUCCUGUCCAACGUUAAUCGGGGCAGGGUGAGUCGACCCCUAAGGCGAGGCCGAAAGGCGUAGUCGAUGGGAAACAGGUUAAUAUUCCUGUACUUGGUGUUACUGCGAAGGGGGGACGGAGAAGGCUAUGUUAGCCGGGCGACGGUUGUCCCGGUUUAAGCAUGUAGGCGGAGGUUCCAGGUAAAUCCGGUACCUUUUUAACGCUGAGGUGUGAUGACGAGGCACUACGGUGCUGAAGUAACAAAUGCCCUGCUUCCAGGAAAAGCCUCUAAGCAUCAGGUAACAUUAAAUCGUACCCCAAACCGACACAGGUGGUCAGGUAGAGAAUACCAAGGCGCUUGAGAGAACUCGGGUGAAGGAACUAGGCAAAAUGGUGCCGUAACUUCGGGAGAAGG